rnacentral:rRNA from 1 species
UGAAUACGAGAUGCUACGGCGUCGAAGCAGUCUAUGUCAUACUUCCAAGAAAAGCUUGCACUGUCAUAAACAAAUAAUGCCUGUACCAUAACCGACACAGGUGGGUAGGUAGAGUAUACUAAGGGGCGCGAGAUAACUCUCUCUAAGGAACUCGGCAAAAUGACUCCGUAACUUCGGGAGAAGGAGUGCCUUAUUUAUAAGGUUGCAAUAACAAGAUCCAAGCAACUGUUUACCAAAAACACAGGUCUCCGCUAAGUCGUAAGACGAUGUAUGGGGGCUGACGCCUGCCCAGUGCCAGAAGGUUAAAGAAGUUGGUUAGCAUCCGCGAAGCUGAUAACUGAAGCCCUGGUGAACGGCGGCCGUAACUAUAACGGUCCUAAGGUAGCGAAAUUCCUUGUCGGGUAAGUUCCGACCCGCACGAAAGGCGUAAUGAUUUGGAUACUGUCUCGGAGAGGGGCUCGGUGAAAUAGACUUGUCUGUGAAGAUGCGGACUACCUGCACCAGGACAGAAAGACCCUAUGAAGCUUUACUGUAACCUGAAAUUGAAAUUGGACUUUACUUGCGCAGCAUAGGUGGGAGGCGUUGAGAAUAUUCUUGCGGGAUUAUUGGAGCCAUCAGUGAGAUACCACUCUCUUAAUGUUAGAUUUCUAACUUUGUAUCAUUAUCUGGUCAAAGAACAGUUUCAGGCGGGCAGUUUGACUGGGGCGGUCGCCUCCUAAACGGUAACGGAGGCGCACAAAGGUUUCCUCUGAACGGGUAGAAAUCGUAUCUAGAGUGUAAAGGCAUAAGGAAGCUUGACUGUGAGACCUACAAGUCGAGCAGGGACGAAAGUCGGUCUUAGUGAUCUGACGGUGCUGAGUGGAAAGGCCGUCACUCAACGGAUAAAAGUUACUCUAAGGAUAACAGGCUGAUCUCCCCCAAGAGUUCACAUCGACGGGGAGGUUUGGCACCUCGAUGUCGGCUCAUCGCAUCCUGGGGCGGUAGUACGUCCCAAGGGUUGGGCUGUUCGCCCAUGAAAGCGGUACGCGAGCUGGGUUCAGAACGUCGUGAGACAGUUCGGUCCAUAUCCGGUGUAGGCGUUAGAAUAUUGAGAGGAGCCUUCUUUAGUACGAGAGGACCGAGAAGGACAUACCUCUGGUGUACCAGUUAUCGUGCCAACGGUAAACGCUGGGUAGCUAUGUGUGGAGUGGAUAACCGCUGAAAGCAUCUAAGUGGGAAGCCCACCUCAAGAUAAGUAUUCUCA